GAUUCUGAUUAAGGCGAAAGUUUGAGACCCACUGUUCCACAGAUUUCAAAUGGUGAAGAAUAACACCUGGGUGUGCCUGCAACAAAUCUGAAGUGAAAAGGGUCCAUACUUGGAGAUGUUAGACUCUAUGACAGAGAAGCUGCUUUUAAAAAUAGACCUUAACACUGCCUCUGUAAACAAUAUAUGAACACACAACUUUGGGAUUUUCUCCUGUUGGGAAGAGAAUGCUAUUCAGCCCAUCAGUUGAAUGGCUGCUGCGUGCCUGGCACUGACUGAGCGCUUUUCCUGCACGGCGUUAUCAUUGAACUCCAGGAGGACCAAUGACAUGGCCAGGGUCAUUCUGGACUAUUCUGAUGUAAUAUGCUGAGUUGAAUCAAGGAAGGAGAAGCUGAGACAUGUUCUGAAAUUACUUAACUCCAGUCUCCCUACUUCACCGCGACUACUCCCACCCUUCCCCCAUGUCUCUGUGAAAUUCUUUCUAUUUUGACGUAAGGCAACAGAUGAGAUGACAGUGUGAAUGACUGAUAUUAUUUAACACUCCUUAAUUAAUUGCAUUUUAAAAGUGGUGCACAUUAAUCUCAAGGGACCUGUAUUCUGGAACUCCAGCUACUAUUACGGCAUCAAGAGAAAAUAUCUAGCAGUGGGAGGGCUUCCUCGUAGGUUCCUUCAAAGGCUGGAUCUCCCCAGCUGUCUCUGCUUUUGCAAUAUCCCCUGCUUCCGUUCCCCAGCCCACAGAUCUCCAGUAGUGCCAAGUCUCGGUGUGGAGGAUUGGUCUCUGACUGCAGCUGUAUUCCGCUCCCUCGCUAGGCAGUCAGCUGUGCCAGCUCUGUGUGCUGACCUGACUUUAGAUGUGCUUUCAGAAUCUAUUUAGUUGGAGUUUUCAGGUUUCUCUAGAUGUUGAAUAUUAAGGAUAUAGCAUUCCAAUUUUUGUUACUUUGUCCAUGAAAAUAUUCCCACAUUUAUGUGGUUUUUGGUCUAUCUUUCAUCUUUAUUUUAAAAAGCCUGUGCCCAUUCUGCUUUUAUUAUAAGUUUCAUGAAAUCCUUUUGGAAGUUGGUGGGCAUAUAAAUAAAAUAUGGGACUAUUAUCAUAUUAUUGUUGUCUUUUAUAUGCUCCAGUUCCAGUUACCACUUCAAUUCCAUAUUAAAGUCAUGUAAAAAAAAAAAAAGAGAAUUCACUAUAUAAGAGAAUGUUAUCUUCUCAGCUAAUGAUUCAAUAAAUAACAGCCUCUCAACAAAAUCGCCUCCCGGAGGCUUUGUGUAGCUCCCUAACAAGCAGCUUCUCCUUGUCUGCAGCCACGCUCCUCUCGCUGUUGCUACUUCAAGGAAGCCAGAGAGCACUUCAGUAGACAAAAGGGAGCCAUAAAUAGAGGGACAGUGGAACUUUAUCCAGGAAAAAAGUAUUGUCACAGACUUUAAUGACCGCCAGUGAGAAGGGGACGGUUUGACAAAGAAACACCUGAGGUAACCAAGAUUGGUAACAACAAGAUGAAGGUCAAGAACUGAUUGCUUGAAAGACGGAGAUGACUAGAACAAGGCAGAAAUGUGAGGCAACUUGAGUGACCCAGCGAUUAAAACAAUAUGUAUCCAUUUGAAUAAUAGACUUAGGAAUGCAGUAAGUAGGCAAUUCAGCUAUGUACAAGUUAUGCCCAAAUGAAUUGAGACUGAUAAAUGUAAGACCACCCUUCUUGACUUGUGGUAAUAAAUACCAGGAUCAUGAAGGUUCUUAUUUUCUCUUCUCAACAAAGUC
rnacentral:lncRNA from 1 species